GGCAAGCCCAUGAAGUCCUAGCAACAAGGCAAAGGCUGAAUUUGCUCCAGACACCUAUGGAUUUGCCGUCGGUAAAUCAGGGUAACUCUGAUCUCUUCCACUGCUAACACAGACAGUUGUGAAUCUCCUGCCUCUAAAAUUACGCUCCACAAGACAAACUCAUCCACUCCUCCGUCUUCUCAUCCCCAAGGCCUAAGACAUCUCUGACCUUAUCUCCAAAUACAGUCACCUUCCAAGAUACUGAGGAUUAAGACAUCAACAUAUGGAUUUAAGGGGACACAAUUCAACCCCUUGCAAAGAGCUACAGAUAUCUUUAUUCUACUACUCAUAAAAUGUCUUAGGAAUACAAUAGCCAUUAGAACAUUAACUGGUUGCAAAAGGUUGAAUUGCUGAAGAAACCAGCUGUUUUUCAGAAAGAGAAAAAGCUUUCAUGCAGCAUUCUUCAUUUAGAAUACAUUGUUAUGCAGGUAUAUACAGCAAGUUAGUGUGUACAUUGAGAAAGACCCAGCAUAAAGUCACAGAGGACUCUGGUGCCAAAUCAUCUGAGUAUUUAUUUGAAUACUGGCUCUGUUUCUGACCAGCUGUGUGACUUUCCCAGCUUGCCUCCAACAACCUCUCCAUUCAAUUUUCCACAUACUGAGAGAGAUUUAUUGAUUACUCUGGCAAGAUACUGGGAUAGGCACAGAAGACCCAGCAGUGCCCAAAAAAACAACCUCUGUCCCACUCUGCCAUAAAGGACUCUACAGUCGAAGUGUUUGAGAAGAUCCUGGAAUAGUUUAAACAGUAUUGGCAUUAUUGGGUCACUUAACGGGUGAGAGGACUCAUUCAUAAAGCCAUCUGGUCCCAGCAUCUGUUUUAGAGGUUAGAUCUUUUCAGCUGUUUCAAUUUUUUUCCCCAGGGUAUGGUUCUAUUCAAGUUUUCUACUUGUUUUCUGAUUUUUCAAUUUUAUUAAUUUAUAAUUUUCUAGAAUAUUAUUCUUUCAAAAAAUAUUGAGUGAUAUUUUGUCAGGCAUCUGUCUUUGUUGUGCCCUGGCCUUUCAUAUUUUGGAAGUGAAUUGUUUAUUGUUUAGUAUGGCUAAUGUAGUUUUUUUCCUGUAAGCUUGUACAUUUUUCUUUAUUCUUUCAAUUAAAAUGUCCUUCUAGAAUGUAUCUAUUAGAAUAAACAUA